UACGAAGGGGGCUAGCGUUGCUCGGAAUCACUGGGCGUAAAGCGCACGUAGGCCGAUUGUUAAGUCAGGGGUGAAAUCCUGGAGCUCAACUCCAGAACUGCCCUUGAUACUGGCGAUCUCGAGUCCGGGAGAGGUGAGUGGAACUGCGAGUGUAGAGGUGAAAUUCGUAGAUAUUCGCAAGAACACCAGUGGCGAAGGCGCUCACUGGCCCGGUACUGACGCUGAGGUGCGAAAGCCAGGGGAGCGAACGGG
rnacentral:rRNA from 1 species